rnacentral:lncRNA from 1 species
AUGGUUCUGAGUGAAGGAAAUCAGAGCUCUGUGACUAUGUUCAUCCUCUUGGGCUUCUCAGAAUACCCACGCCUCCUGGAACCCCUUUUUCUGGUGUUCCUGACCAUUUACACAGUCACUCUGGUGGGGAACCUUGGCAUAAUAGUGAUCAUAAGGACAAGUCUCAAACUCCACACACCCAUGUACUUUUUUCUUAACUGUCUAUCCUUUUGGGAUAUUUGUUCUUCCAGUGUAUUUACACCCAAACUCCUAGAUAUCUUAGUAGUGGAAGACAGAGUUAUCCCUUUCAAAGGAUUCAUGGCAUACUGUGCAUUUGUGAUUACGGAGAUGUCCAUGCUAGCAUUGAUGGCCUAUGACUGGUUUGUGGCUGUUUGUAACCCCCUGCUCUACACAGUUGCUGUGUCUCCUAAGCUCUGCAGCAUCCUGGUUGCCAGGACUUACACGUGGGGUGGAAUGUGUUCCUGGACAAUCACAUGUUCUCUUUUGGAGCUGUCCUUCUGCAGUUCUAUGUCAUACAUCACUUUGGCUGUGAGUAUUCUGCCAUCAUCUCUGCUUCCUGUUCUGACACCCAUUUCAGUCAACUGACGUGUUUCAUCAUUUCUACACUCAAUGAGGUAUGUAGCCUCCUGAUUAUCCUCACUUCCUACGUUUUCAUAGUUGUCACAAUCAUCAAGAUGCCUUCAGCUGCUGGACUCCAAAAAGCCUUCUCCACCUGUGCCUCCCACCUGACCGCCAUCACCAUUUUCCACGGGACUGUCUUAUUCCUUUAUUGUGUAUCCAACUCCAAAAGCUCGUGGCUCCUCAUCAAAGUAGCCACUGUGUUUUUUACUGUCAUGAUUCCUAUGCUGAACCCUCUUAUCUAUAGCCUUAGGAAUAAAGGUGUGAAAGAGACAGUCAGAAGUUUGAGAACUAUGAAACUGCUUUCUCCC